rnacentral:rRNA from 1 species
GAUGAACGCUAGCUACAGGCUUAACACAUGCAAGUCGAGGGGCAGCGGGAUUGAAGCUUGCUUCAAUUGCCGGCGACCGGCGCACGGGUGAGUAACGCGUAUCCAACCUUCCGUACACUCAGGGAUAGCCUUUCGAAAGAAAGAUUAAUACCUGAUGGUAUGAUGAGAUUGCAUGAUAUCAUCAUUAAAGAUUUAUCGGUGUACGAUGGGGAUGCGUUCCAUUAGGUAGUAGGCGGGGUAACGGCCCACCUAGCCAACGAUGGAUAGGCGUUCUGAGAGGAAGGUCCCCCACAUUGGAACUGAGACACGGUCCAAACUCCUACGGGAGGCAGCAGUGAGGAAUAUUGGUCAAUGGACGAGAGUCUGAACCAGCCAAGUAGCGUGAAGGAUGAAGGUCCUACGGAUUGUAAACUUCUUUUAUAAGGGAAUAAACCCUCCCACGUGUGGGAGCUUGUAUGUACCUUAUGAAUAAGCAUCGGCUAACUCCGUG